rnacentral:rRNA from 1 species
GACGAACGCUGGCGGCGUGCCUAAUACAUGCAAGUAGAACACUGAAGCGAGGAGCUUGCUCUUCUUGGAUGAGUUGCGAACGGGUGAGUAACGCGUAGGUAACCUGCCUUGUAGCGGGGGAUAACUAUUGGAAACGAUAGCUAAUACCGCAUAACAAUGGAUGACACAUGUCAUUUAUUUGAAAGGGGCAAUUGCUCCACUACAAGAUGGACCUGCGUUGUAUUAGCUAGUAGGUGAGGUAAUGGCUCACCUAGGCGACGAUACAUAGCCGACCUGAGAGGGUGAUCGGCCACACUGGGACUGAGACACGGCCCAGACUCCUACGGGAGGCAGCAGUAGGGAAUCUUCGGCAAUGGGGGCAACCCUGACCGAGCAACGCCGCGUGAGUGAAGAAGGUUUUCGGAUCGUAAAGCUCUGUUGUAAGUCAAGAACGGGUGUGAGAGUGGAAAGUUCACACUGUGACGGUAGCUUACCAGAAAGAGACGGCUAACUACGUG